rnacentral:rRNA from 1 species
UACAGAGGGUGCGAGCGUUAAUCGGAAUUACUGGGCGUAAAGCGUGCGCAGGCGGUUUCGUAAGUCUGUCGUGAAAUCCCCGGGCUUAACCUGGGAAUGGCGAUGGAGACUGCGAGGCUAGAGUUUGGCAGGAGGGGGGUAGAAUUCCACGUGUAGCAGUGAAAUGCGUAGAGAUGUGGAGGAACACCGAUGGCGAAGGCAGCCCCCUGGGUCAAAACUGACGCUCAUGCACGAAAGCGUGGGGAGCAAACCAG